AGUCGUUGUUUAUGUUGUGUAACAGCUUAGCGUAUCUUUUAAUGUCAUUCGUUUUUAUGCAGUUUUUUAUUAAACUAAAUGUUUUUAUGGUCAAGUCGUAUUCAGUAUUUCAGUGCAGCUUCUAACAGGCUCCAGCAGCAGUUAGGCCCCGAGAUUGACCGUUAAAGCAGCGUUCCGGACCAAACCACUGUUAACAAACGUAACACGAUAAAUCAAAUUCAUGCAAAUGAGUCAUUUCGUAGAAAAUGUCUAAGAAAUCUCUUGGAUGUCGUUGUUUAUUAUACACGUACCGCUUAUACGAUAUACCCCAAAUAUUCAAUCUUUCGAUUUUUUUGAUUGAAAGUAUGCCAUAUCCCACAGAAAAAGUAAUCAACUAUCAAUAAGUUUAUAUUGUGACGCCUUGACAAAAACUUUCGCAAGCGAAUCUUUUAAAGCAAGAAUUGUAGUAUAGUACUCCGGGGUAAUAUGGGACCCUUUCAGCAAAUAUUAUCCAAAUGUCUUGAUCGUGUUUUAAACAAUUAACAACGGUUUAUAGAAGUCGUGAGGAUACGGUUUUAUAUUUAUUUGACGGUUCUUUGUUUACUACCAAAUGGGACGAUAAAAUGUAGUGCACAUGUGUCCAUCUUUCCCCGCCCUACUGUAUACAGUAUUGGAUUUGCGGGUAAAGUCAAAUUAAGUCGUGCUUGUAAAAACUUUAGUGACUAGUGUUUGCUUACCUUAGUAUUUCAUUUGCGAACGUUCAUUGUGAACGACAGUAGGCUAUGUUGUUAUCGCGAAGAUGUUAUAUUCAUGAUUAAUUAUGCGCAAUUCAACAUUGGCGUGAUUGAUAUGUAUUGAAGUCAAAUCGGCAGCGAUACAGAAAACUAAGUAUGAUGUCACGAUGCAAUUACUUUCUCCUAACCUAACGUAACCAUUUUAAUUUUGAAAAGUAGAACAUAUACAACCAACUCAAUAAAAUCAAAUACUUAAACAUUUUUUGCGUAAAAGUUGUUUUUUUCAUCCAAUGCUGCCAGUAAUAUCAGGAAGACACAUAAACCAAGCAUUGCCGCAAUAUCACGUGCUGUGCUUAACUACAUCUUCAAUCGUUCACAUUCUUUUGUUGAAGCAAACAACAAAACAAUUUACUGGACACUCUUUUAAGUUGUAAGAUUAUAUUUGUGUGAUUUGAAGUGCAUGGAAUGAAAAUCUCAAA